rnacentral:rRNA from 19 species
GCACUAGCGCGGUGGUCCCACCUGACCCCAUGCCGAACUCAGAAGUGAAACGCCGUAGCGCCGAUGGUAGUGUGGGGUCUCCCCAUGCGAGAGUAGGGAACUGCCAGGC